AAAGAGAGUUGGGAAAAGGCCGGAACGCAUUAAUGGGCCAUUUAAGAACUGCCUGCCUCCUAAACCUAUUUUCAGACUGUGAAGCAGGAAGGCAGUGAGGCAUGGUAAAGGGCACUAAUUUGAAGUCAGAAGACCUGGGCUGUGCCAAUGACUCAUUGUAAUCUUGGGAAAGUCCUUUCCCUUCUCUAGACAUCAGGGUCUCAUUCACACUGGGUAAAGGGGUGGGGGUGGAAAGCAGGAAUUAGACUUGAUAACUACUAAAGGCCCUUUUAGAUUUGACAUUUUAGGCUUAAUUAUAACUCCACCUUCCACACCCAGGUGUGGAAUUAUAACUCCACCUCCCACAAUCUCCAGGAUGCACCAAAGGACCUAACUGGACCAAACCUCCGAGUUCUUGACUACAGCAUUCCACAUGAAUGGGAUCAUAUAACAGUGUAUUAGAUGCAUUAUUGGGACUGCUGGCAAUAUGUCCGAAUAAAAACUGCACCAGUCUGCAGCUCCCAGUGAUAUUGAUGAAAAAGAACACAGAUUUAUUCUCCACUCCACGUGGCCACUGUCAGAGGAUAGAGGAGGUGUGGCAUCAGUGAUUCAAGACUGUAUUUUCUGCCAUCUUUCAGUGCCUCUUUCAGCAAUAUGGAGCUAAAGCCAUGUACCGUGAUUGCUCACCUGAUUUUUAGUUCCUAUGAAGAUGCUUUGUGUGUAAGUAUGUGCAGACAGAGUUAUUAAAUUGGUGUUCUUGCAGGGGGGACAAUCGGUGGAGCCUUCUAUUUGGCCAUCUUGUUCCACUCAUCUUGUUUUUAUUUCUUGUGGGUACAUACCUAGUAGUAAAAUUGAUGGACCAUAUGUAACUUUAUAUUAAAUAUUUGAGGAAGUGCCAGACUGUUUUUUAUAGUGGCUCUGCUAUUUUACAUUUCUUCCAGCAGUGUAUGUGUGCUCCAAACUUUCCACGUUGUUGACAACACUUAUUAUUGUUUUCUUUUUUUAUUAUUGUUUUCCCUUUUUUUAUUAUAGCCAUGUGCUAUAAAUAUGCUCAUUGACUAUGUUAAUUUUUUUGAUAAAUAUUUAUUUAAUUCCUUUGUCUAUUUAAAAAUACUGUGUUAUUUGGCUUUUUACUGUCAAGUGUUAAGAGGCUUUUAUGUAUUUUAUAUACAAAUUCCUUACCAAAAUUAUGCUUUCAAAACAUUUUCUCUCAUUCUUUGGGUUGUUUUUCACUUUUAUUAUGAUAUUUUUGAAGCAUAUAAACUUUUUAUUUCUGAUAAAGUCCAAUUUAUUAAUAGUUUGCUGUGUGUGCUUUGAAGUCAUACUGCAUUUUCACUAAAGGUCAUAAAGAUUUAUUCCUGUGUUGCUGU
rnacentral:lncRNA from 10 species